CCCAGCUGUGGUAAUGGUCUAGGAUGCAGUGUACCUAGGCAAGUGCUACACUGCUGGGAGAGAAGCAGCUAAUAGCUGGCAGGCAUCCUGGGCCUGGUUAAUGCCAAAUU
rnacentral:snoRNA from 1 species